UGUACUUGUACAGGUACUCGAGUGGCGAACGGGUGAGUAACACGUGGGUGAUCUGCCCUGCACUAUGGGAUAAGCUUGGGAAACUGGGUCUAAUACCAUAUAGGACCACUUCUUGGAUGUUGUGGUGGAAAGCUUUUGCGGUGUGGGAUGAGCCUGCGGCCUAUCAGCUUGUUGGUGGGGUAAUGGCCUACCAAGGCGGCGACGGGUAUCCGGCCUGAGAGGGUGUACGGACACAUUGGGACUGAGAUACGGCCCAGACUCCUACGGGAGGCAGCAGUGGGGAAUAUUGCACAAUGGGCGCAAGCCUGAUGCAGCGACGCCGCGUGGGGGAUGACGGCCUUCGGGUUGUAAACUCCUUUCGCUAUCGACGAAGCCACCUUGGGUGGUGACGGUAGGUAGAUAAGAAGCACCGGCUAACUACGUGCCAGCAGCCGCGGUAAUACGUAGGGUGCAAGCGUUGUCCGGAAUUACUGGGCGUAAAGAGCUCGUAGGUGGUUUGUCGCGUCGUCUGUGAAAUCCCGGGGCUUAACUUCGGGCGUGCAGGCGAUACGGGCAUAACUUGAGUGCUGUAGGGGAGACUGGAAUUCCUGGUGUAGCGGUGAAAUGCGCAGAUAUCAGGAGGAACACCGAUGGCGAAGGCAGGUCUCUGGGCAGUAACUGACGCUGAGGAGCGAAAGCAUGGGUAGCGAACAGGAUUAGAUACCCUGGUAGUCCAUGCCGUAAACGGUGGGCGCUAGGUGUAGGGGGCUUCCACGUCUUCUGUGCCGUAGCUAACGCAUUAAGCG
rnacentral:rRNA from 1 species